rnacentral:rRNA from 1 species
UACGUAGAGUGCGAGCGUUGUUCGGAAUUACUGGGCGUAAAGCGCACGUAGGCGGACUAUUAAGUCAGGGGUGGAAUCCCGGGGCUCAACCCCGGAACUGCCUUUGAUACUGGUAGUCUCGAGUCCGGAAGAGGUGAGUGGAAUUCCGAGUGUAGAGGUGAAAUUCGUAGAUAUUCGGAGGAACACCAGUGGCGAAGGCGGCUCACUGGUCCGGUACUGACGCUGAGGCGCGAAAGCGUGGGGAGCAAACAGG